rnacentral:rRNA from 1 species
AACGAACGCUGGCGGCAUGCCUAACACAUGCAAGUCGAACGAGACCUUCGGGUCUAGUGGCGCACGGGUGCGUAACGCGUGGGAACCUGCCCUUAGGUUCGGAAUAACUCUCCGAAAGGGGUGCUAAUACCGGAUAAUGUCUUCGGACCAAAGAUUUAUCGCCUUUGGAUGGGCCCGCUUUGGAUUAGCUAGUUGGUAGGGUAAACGCCUACCAAGGCGACGAUCCAUAGCUGGUCUGAGAGGAUGAUCAGCAACACUGGGACUGGGACCCGGCCCAGACUCCUGCGGGAGGCAGCAGUGGGGAAUAUUGGACGAUGGGCGAAGGACUGAGCCAGCCAUGCCGCGUAAGUGAUGAAGGCCUUAGGGUUGUAAAGCUCUUUUACCCGCGAAGAUAAUGACGGUACCGAGAGAAUAAGCGCCGGCUAACUCCGUG